rnacentral:lncRNA from 1 species
GGAUUGGGAUAUUCCGACUCCUUAAGGGCCUGGCGCACAUAAGGUGUGACCUUUUCAUUCCCGUUGUUAUGGAGGGCCACAUCUGCCAGAGCCUGGAGUCUGCGAAGGCCGGGACCCGGUUCCCCGGCCCACAGUGGGGGUGUGCAAACCCGAGAGAACUGGGAAGUGCCGUCAGAAGCGAUAACUGACGACGUCUAAUGUCUAUCUGACCGCAGUCGCUGAAACCUCUACAACUUAGUUGACCGUAACUGCCAGAGCCCUGCCCUGAAUUCCUGUCCUUACUCCCUCUUUAAGAUUGCGUACCCACUGCAGAGUGCUGAAGACGGGGUAGCCACGAGGUUGCAAAUUCGUGAAGAAUCAGCAUCAUGUUUGGCAGCUGAGUAUUGGAGCCAGGAGCCUGCCAUGAGGUUUUGAGAACAGAGUGCUGUUUUAGAGCUGGCAGCAGCAUCUCAGCCCAAGAGAAGGUUAUAUUCCCAGAGGAUGUCAGUCCCAAGGACCAGUAGCUGCCAUCAGUUUGGAUUCUGAAAACUAACUGGCAUCAACACUGGGUGUAGAAACAUGCUUGCCUUAUGUAUCAGAGGACAUGCUCAGCAGAUCCAAGAGAUAUAUUUGGCAACUUUUUCUAGAAAAGGCACAUUGGGUAUCAUUCAUUACAUUCUUGAGUUUUUUUGGGUUUUUUUUUUUUUUUUUGAGACAGUCUUGCUGUAUUGCCCAGGCUGGAGUGUGGUGGCACAAUCACAGCUCAUUGCAUCCUCAAUCACCCAGGCCUAAGCAAUCCUCCCACCUUGUAGCUGGGACUACAGCUCACAGCACACCUGGCUAAAAUUUUUUUUUUGUUGAGACGGAUUCUCUAUGUUGCCCAGGCUGGUCUCAGGCUCCUGGGCUCAGAUGGUCCUCCUGCCUCAGCUUCCAAAGGCACAGGCCAAGUUGUAGCUUUGUCCCUUGCCAUCAUGCCCAACAAGAGGUUCUAUACCUUUUAAUGAAUUGACUUUCAUAAAUUGGUUAUGUUGGUGGGCAAAGUUCUUUAAGCUGGAAAUUGUAAAUUCCUCCUGAAAUGUUUUUUCAUGCAGUUACCAUGAACUAAUACUACAAUAAAGGAUGGUCUUGGGUGUCAAUUCUUGAAAA